AGGUGAUUACCCCAAUUGGCAGAGGGUAGGAGCUUAAACCUCCGAUGUUGAGAGUUCGAAUCUCUCAUCACCUA
rnacentral:tRNA from 1 species